ACAUUCUCACAAAUCCCAGUGCUCCAUCUUCAUUUAAGCAAAUGUUUAAAUUAAACAUUUGCUUAAAUGAAGAUGGAGCACUGGGAUUUGUGAGA